rnacentral:snoRNA from 1 species
GCCGCCACGUUAUCCCACUAUGCAUAUCCUUAGUGCGCCCUAGCUCCCUUUGGCGCUCUGAUGGGU